rnacentral:ncRNA from 2 species
CACUGACAUUUAUUGUUGGGAAGGUCUAAUAACAUAAAAUAAGUCAGGAGACCUGCCACUUUUCACGAGUUAAA